rnacentral:rRNA from 1 species
GACGAACGCUGGCGGCGUGCCUAACACAUGCAAGUCGAGCGGAGACAGUGAGUAGCUUGCUAUGAGCUGUUUUAGCGGCGGACGGGUGAGUAACGCGUGAGCAACCUUUCCCAGACAGGGGAAUAACACACCGAAAGGUGUACUAAUACCGCAUAAGACCACGGGAUCACAUGGUUUUGAGGUAAAAGAUUUAUCGGUUUGGGGUGGGCUCGCGUCCGAUUAGGUAGUUGGUGAGGUAACGGCCCACCAAGCCGACGAUCGGUAGCCGACCUGAGAGGGUGAUCGGCCACAUUGGGACUGAGACACGGCCCAAACUCCUACGGGAGGCAGCAGUGGGGAAUAUUGGGCAAUGGAGGAAACUCUGACCCAGCAACGCCGCGUGGAGGAAGAAGGUUUUCGGAUCGUAAACUCCUGUCCUUGGAGACGAGUAGAAGACGG